rnacentral:rRNA from 1 species
CAGUAGCCGCGGUAAUACGAAGGGUGCAAGCGUUAAUCGGAAUUACUGGGCGUAAAGCGCGCGUAGGUGGUUCAUUAAGUUGGAUGUGAAAGCCCUGGGCUCAACCUGGGAACUGCAUCCAAAACUGGUGAGCUAGAGUACGGUAGAGGGUAGUGGAAUUUCCUGUGUAGCGGUGAAAUGCGUAGAUAUAGGAAGGAACACCAGUGGCGAAGGCGACUACCUGGACUGAUACUGACACUGAGGUGCGAAAGCGUGGGGAACAAACAGGAUUAGAGACCCCAGUAGUCCCUGUCUCUUAUAC